CUGCACUUUUCACCCGCUCACUUUUACGGACGUGCGCACCUUCUGCCAUCUCGUAGAGGUGCGAUCGCCCGAUCGCACGUACCAUCUCGUCACUUCGUCGUUUACGCAGAGAUUCGCCGGACACUCUCUUCCUCCCUCGCGCACCCACAUUCGAUUUCUCUCUGUCACCUCUGCAUGUGAGGCUUCUUGAAGGGGGCUUGCUGCUUCCUGCCCGUUCCUCUUUCGCACACCUUUUUUUUUUGUUUCCAAGUGUUAUAGUCACCCCAGAGAAGGCACAUCUCUGCCCUGUCCCACUUCCCCACCCCCUCCCUGCCCCGUUGGGCUACGUAAAUAGUUACCCCGAUAUUCGGCAGUGCACUCUAUCGUCUGCGAACCCACUUUUGCUGCAGCGUGCCAUUUAUCUAGUGUUGUUUGAGUUCAGUCAGUGCCAACCACAACGUGGACUCUGUGGCAGCCGCACCCCACGCAAUCUGCGCCUCUCACCAUCUGCAUCCUUGGAAAUCGUUUUGACAGAGGGACGCCACUCUUCGUUGUUCUCCGCAACGUUUUCGGCCGCUUCUCUUUACCUGGCGAGAAGGAGGAGGAGGACGAAGGGUGCAGGUCAGCCAGCGCCGCUGGCUGCCGAUCUCGAUAGCGCAUGCUCGGGAUCAGCGUUGUAUCCUGUCGAGUUCGCAUUCAGCUGGCUUCUGUUUUCGUUGGAUGAUGCGUUUCUCCUUUUCUUCUUUCUUUGCUUUGCCGUGAAGAGAUCUUCUUUGUUGCUGCUUUUGUUUUUGCUUUCUGCGUCGGUGCUGCAUUUAUUAUUAUUAUUAUUUUCCCUUUCGGUUGAUUCGCGAGUGCUCACGGAAACCUCCCUCCCCUCGUUCCAGCUUGCCAGGCACACAUACGUGCAUACGCACGUAAACAUCAUAGUUAGCAAACGACUGAGGGCCUCAGCACAUUGCUUCCUACUAUUUUUCGUUUCUUUUCCGAAGACUCUUGUUUAUUGUUGUUGGUUUGCCCCACAAACAUCCACUCUCCCUUUCCCCUCUACCCCAAUUUCAUGCGUCUGCUCGAGCUUUUUUGUGUUUGUUUGUAUCGGUGCGUGCACGUUUGCCUUCCUUGUCGACGAUGCUCCGCCGCACUCUCCGCUGUCUCACCGCGCAUAGUGACCACAGCGGGCCGUUGAACCCUCACCAAGUGCUCGGCGUUUCCCCGGGAACGCCCUUCGAGGAGGUUCGACAUCGCUUCUAUGAACUCACUAAGAGGUACCAUCCAGAUGUGGAGAACGGUGACCCCGUCAAGUUCCGAGAGAUCAACGCCGCCUACCGCCUGCUGCGCGCGCAAUACCGCGAGUCGUCUAUCGGAGGAAGCGCUGCCGAUGAGGCGCGACGCACGCCUUCCUCGCGAUCCCGCCAAAGGGAGAAACGAGAGACCCCUACCGGCGGCGCCUUCUGGGCGGAACGAAACGAGCAGGUGCGCAAGGCGAAUGAGCAACGGGAGCGGGAGCGCUGGGCCGCCGAGGAGCGCGACCGUCGUCAGACGAGAGAUCAUCGUAGUUUUCUUCGCGAGCUGCUCGUGUUUCUCAACGGAUCGGAGAUCGCCAUCUCGAUUGGGACGGUGGUGCUCGUUCUUCUGUACAGCGUUGAGCGCUAUCACACGGUGAACCGCAUGCUCGCCGAGAAGCGACGGCGGCUUAAGAACAUGGACGAGGGCCUGCCGCCUCCAAUGCCCCUGGAGGUGGAUAGGACGUUGAUUGACAAGUACAAUGCACUGCCGGAGGCUAGAGAGCAGCAGAUUGAUGCGCUGCGCAUUCGCGAGGAGUCCUCCUACCGCCGUGCUACGCAACGGAAGUUUGAGGACUUUCGGGAGUUCAUGUUCGUGUACGACCCAGAGGCGAUUGCAUCGCGCAAGGUAGCCUCGACACGCUUCAGCCACCAAUACAUGAGGGAGGAGGAGAUCCCAAAGCGGUGCCCAAUCUUGCGCGAGUUCAACUCGGAGAGCCGCACGCAUCAUUACGGUGCCAUCCAGAAGGAGCUGGAGCAGGCUAUUCGAGAGACGCCGUGGUCAGCGCCGGAUGCCGGCUACGCCGGCGCACUCGUGGCCAAGGGACUGAACAGCAUCGCGAUGAACAGCCCUAACACCACCAAGUGGACGUUCAUCGAGUACACAGACAUGGACAACGGCUCGAAGAACGCAAGAACAAUAUGCCUGGCUGCGCUGCGCAACCUGCGUUUUGGGCAGACAGGCAUGUGCCAGCGCGUCGCCGUCACCGGCAAGUCCAAGCUCCAGCCGGUGCUCGUGGCUCAACGGGAGAAGGAUUUGAAGGAAGGGAUUUUGAAGAAGCGCGCCAUUGUCACAGGUGGUGAACUGCCGGUGAAGGACCUGUCAGCACCGCUCGAAUCCAUGAAGCUGUAAGGCGUGUUCACCCUUCGCACACAGCAGCUGAUGUGCUCUUGUUUUAUCUCCACGUGUGCCGUGUGCUACUACGGCGUGCGCGCCUGUGGGUGUUUGUUCUCUCUGUGCCGCCCAGCCCACGAGGUGUGCAGAUAUCCCUCUGCACACACAUGGCGUCGCCUCUUCUCUCUCUCUCAAGGAAACACACGUGCGCGUAUUGUGUGUGUGAGAGCCGUAAUGAAAGACCAAUGCGAAGGCGGUGCUGUUUCAAUGAUGGAUAUGGGCAUGCUGGUAGUGUUGCGGGUUGCUUCGGUUACGCGUUCGAGAACUCUUACAUCCAUCUGCUUCGUUGACCUUUUCGACUUCCCCUGCUGCCCUUCUCUUCUCCCAGUCUGCCCAGUGCGUGGUGGUUGCCGGGGUGGUUGGGUGGGUUGGGGGGCGCCCGCUGUAAACCCCCCCCCCCCCCAAAAAAAAAAAGAAGUAAAGAGGCGCUGAGGUACACUCGUUUCUGGCUGUUACACGGAGCAGAUUGUGCCUGUGCGGUGAGGACAGCACACUAGACGCGCCUUGUUUUUUUGUGAGAGAGGCAGAUGAGACAUGACUCAUGUCGGAGUGUCGCUGAUCCGUCUGACUGCGCCUCUGCCUCAGGCUAUGCAGAUUUCGUCGUGAGUGUGCAUGACGAUGCAACUGCCAUCCUUACCCUCUGCUGCCGUAUGUGUCUAUUCGGGAAUCGCUUCUCCCAUCCCCGCAGCGACAUGCGAAAACGUUGUCUUCGCUCUUCUUUUGCUCUCUCCCUCUCUCCGUAUGCGCGUCUCUCUCAUCUUCACACGGUUGUUGCAUGCGGCUGUUUUUUUGUUCUUCUUUGGUGCCAUAG
rnacentral:misc_RNA from 1 species